AAUCCGGCGCCUCCUUUCCUCCCCCAGUCACCUCUCCUCCUCCUCCCACAAUCGCCCCCAUCUCCUUCUCUGUCUCCACUUCUGGUUGGGGCACCGUCUCCUCUCCACCCCGUGCCCCCCUCUUCCCACUCCGCCACCUCUGCUCUGCUGCACCCCGCCGCUCCGAGGACCAUCGACGAGGUGAGGACAGCGGUGCCAUUGGACCCGCCGACCCGGAGCCCGCGCCCUCCUGACCAAGCACCGUCCGCCUCCUCCCCCUCCUGUCCACGCUCACAGUUGUCCCCGGCCACACCGGCCGCCAUCGCAUCUUCGCACAAAAUGCAAGCUCGGCUGAUGGAUUGCAUACUAUUUGGCUGAGUUGUUUUGUUCUAAAGAUACAAACGAGCUGAAGACUUCUUUUGUAUGGAAAUUCACUAUGGAAACCAAAAUAAUGGAUACUGAAUCAACAGUUACACGAAAGUUUGAUGUCGUGUGAUUAGCAGAAACUGAAAGAAAUAAGCAUUAGUCCUCUGAGAAGAGGUUGACAUUAUAUGCCCCUUCAGUGCUCGCUUUUGUCUUCCCCUGAUGUUCAUCGUCUCAAGGCUACUGACCUAGGAGUAGUCAUAUGCAAGUUCUGGUUAUCGCCCCUAUCCUCUUUCCUGCAGUCUGUACUUCCUGCUCAAUUUGGAAUGCAUGAUCAGAGAGAUAUGGCGAGGGAGGUGGCGAGGAAGUCGUUGGUGAUCUUGAAGAAUGGCAAGACGCCGAGCGAUGCACCGUUGCACCAACUGCCCAAGAUGCCGAGCGACGCGCAGCUGCUGCCGCUGCCCAAGAAGAUGACAAGCACAAAUGAUGGUUUGAUCUGUGUGCAGUUGCAUUGUUUAUUUCUUAAUCAGGGGAGAUCAUUUUUAUUAAUUAUUUUGACACGAACCCUAUGCUUUUUGUCAAGAGAUUGUUUUUGUAGUUGCCUAUUUAUUGUUAUCUACCAUUUUUUAAAUCUUCUGCAGCAUAGCAUGUGCAGUACUAUACUCCUAUUAUGCAAAGACUUCGGGAGGAUUAGCAGUUUCAAAUUCUA